rnacentral:rRNA from 1 species
GCAGCCGCCGCGGGAAUACGUAGGAUGCAAGCGUUAAUCGGAAUUACUGGGCGUAAAGCGUGCGCAGGCGGUCCGCUAAGACAGAUGUGAAAUCCCCGGGCUUAACCUGGGAACUGCAUUUGUGACUGGCGGGCUAGAGUAUGGCAGAGGGGGGUAGAAUUCCACGUGUAGCAGUGAAACGCGUAGAGAUGUGGAGGAAUACCGAUGGCGAAGGCAGCCCCCUGGGCCAAUACUGACGCUCAUGCACGAAAGCGUGGGGAGCAAACAGGAUUAGAUACCCCCGUAGUCCCUGUCUCUUAUAC